rnacentral:rRNA from 1 species
AGGAAGUAAGAUCCCUGAAAGAUGAUCAGGUUGAUAGGUCUGAGGUGGAAGUGUGGCGACACAUGGAGCUGACAGAUACUAAUCGAUCGAGGACUUAACCAA